rnacentral:rRNA from 1 species
AAUUGGAGGGCAAGUCUGGUGCCAGCAGCCGCGGUAAUUCCAGCUCCAAUAGCGUAUAUUAAAGUUGUUGCAGUUAAAAAGCUCGUAGUUGAAUUUCGGGAUCAAUAUUUCGGUCAUGCCGUUGGUAUGCACUGUUAUCAUUGAUUUCUCACCUUCUAAAGAACCGUAAUGCCAUUAAUUUGGUGUUACGGGGAAUUAGGACUGUUACCUUGAAAAGAUUAGAGUGUUUAAAGCAGGCUCACGCUUGAAUACAUUAGCAUGGAAUAAUGAAAUAGGACAUCCGAUUCUAUUUUGUUGGUUUCUAGGAUCGAUGUAAUGAUUAAUAGGGAUAGUUGGGGGCAUUAGUAUUCAAUUGUCAGAGGUGAAAUUCUUGGAUUUAUUGAAGACUAACUACUGCGAAAGCAUUUGCCAAGGAUGUUUUCAUUAAUCAAGAACGAAAGUUAGGGGAUCGAAGACGAUCAGAUACCGUCGUAGUCUUAACCAUAAACUAUGCCGACUAGGGAUCGGAUGAUGUUAAUUUUUUAAUGACUCAUUCGGCGCCUUACGGGAAACCAAAGUGU